AAGAAUUUUAAAAUCACUUAUUUCUGAGAAAGCCUUCCCCAAGCCCUUCUCUUAAAAAUCCCCUUUCCUUUUUUAGUUAAUGGAUGCUCACCAAAAUAUCACAAAACCACAUUAGAGACUGGCAUAGAAAUUAGCAUAGUCAACUUUGAAUAUAAUAACGGACCAUAGAAGACCAAUGCUUUAUCAAUCAACCACCUCACCCAAAAUCUA
rnacentral:misc_RNA from 1 species